AUCACCUAUCAAAGUAAACAAAUCAUUACUAUAUAUAUACGCUAUCUAAUACGAAUAUCCAGGAUCGUUAUUGAUUAUUAAUUUAUUACAUUAUGAGUUUACAUAUCAACACUAGUUGAUUAGGUCUUUGUCUAGAAUCUUCACCUUCAUCUUGUUUUCUUACUUUUCACCAUUCAAACACCUAAUCAAUAGGUUUUUGGAUGUUGUCAAUCACUAUCACUGUGAUCCGGAUCUUGUUUGGGACUCACAAUGGUCGAUAAUAAAUAAGUAGACCCGGCAAACUCAACCCACACAUUCAACUUUGGGUCAGGAUGGGGAGAUUUGAUGGAUUUUAGGUUGGGCGACUUGUAAGAAUUUGCUUAUUGCUGUUCAUCCAAACACAGUGUAUACCACUUGAAUACAUUAUAUUUCGCGAGGUGCACUGAGGCGAUAGGGACCUUGGCAACGGGGCACAAGGCGCAAAGCGAAGGCUCACACAUCGCGUACGUACGCGAGAGGAAAUGUGUUUAUAUAGUUUUUUUUUUUAUAUUUGUUAUAAGGUUCUAUCGUCGCAUAUUUAGAUAUAAAUAACCUCUGUAUACAACCUAAUUAGCUAUAUGUACAAACCUCUUGUUGCACAAAAUCUGCCCAUGUACAAGUGGCAUGCGCAUUGAAAAUCUGAUCUUGUACAAGAGGCACACCCGAUGUGCAAUCAUCAUUAGCAUUUUGACCUACGCCUCAUGUAUGUUCGACGCCUCAAGCAAUCAUAAGCGCACAUCCCUGUUGUUAUCCAAACCUCCUUAUAUGUAACACUUUAAAAUUAAGAGAAUUCAGAGAGGGCCGAUCUCAAUUUAGCAUAUAGUUAACCAAAAAAGGACAUUAUUGAUGUAAAAGAAUUUAGCAUAAAGUUAGCCAAAAAAUAACAUUAUUAAACAAUGAAAGAUAACAUUAACAACCGAGCCUUCUAUUUGCAUAUACUGCCCCACCCAAUUGAGUGGUAGCGCUAGCCCUUUGACUUUCCGAAUUGGAGGUAAUGGCUUGGAGUCUCGUCUGGGACAUUUUGUUCCGGGUUGAGCCAGGGGAUUUUCGCAGUUGUGGGUUUCCUCCUUAGCAGAUGAGCCAAGUCAUCAUGUUCUUCAGGUGGAAGGGUGAUCCCGGGUGUUACUCAAAUUGGAACAAAUUUAAACAAAUUGGAGGUAAAAAAAUAAAUUAUUAUGAUGACGUGCAUAUCCUAUGGACCAAGCUUUUUGGGCCUGGGCUUGGGCAAGUUCGGCUCAUUGGCCCUGAUCCAGCCCACAUCCUCUCCUUCGCAAAGAUGGGGCAUCGAGCAUCCACUUGAUGAUCGCUGUCAAUGUGUGGCUAGCCCACUUGGUACAUGCACGCGCCUCUUAGAAGAGAGGUCUCAGGUUCAAAUCUAGGCAAAGACGUAGUUUAGAUUUAUUGGUAUAAUUUAGAGGAGUACCAUUUGUCGUUCAAAUAAAUAAAUAAACUUGAUGAUGGCUUCAUCCCAUUUAGCUCUAUAUUAUACUCUAUAAAUGUCUUGGCAUAGAUUAGAUACACAUAUAUGUUGAUACUAAUCUUGGUUUUAAAAGUGUGAUUAUAUGAUAUUGGUUUUAAAAAGUUUGCAUUGACCCUAACGUUUAGUUAAGCUUAACGAGAUUAUACUUGAUGAUUAUGAACGACAUGUUGUGUAGAGUCUCCUUGCUCUAUGCUUAAAAUAACUAGCUCACAACACCCAAGGGUGUACCAGAAGGUUGGGAUUAUCUAUAAGAGUGUUCUCAAUAGAGUUAAGACUCGUAACCUUAAAUGAUCAUCUGAAAGCCUUAAUUAUAGGUUGUUCCAGAUUCUGUAGCAGACCAUCAUUGACUUGGUAGCAGUUCGCUACUGCCUGUCGAGGAUGAUUAGUCAUGCUACACGUGCCAACUACUCGCUUAUGCCUUUCUUGUCACGUAGUGGACCACCAAGCUUCAGGUAGCAGUCGCGGUCCGCUAAGCCCUUUUUUUCACAUUCAGAUUGUCAAGAAACCUCAGUUUCAUAUAUUAUGAUUUUUGUAACCCAUUUCCUAUCUCGGGAUAUGCCCAUUUGAAGGUUGGGCCACACCCAUGACAUGUAAUUGCAUAUUUUUAGAAAUCGGGGUGUUACAAGUGAUGUCGAAGUCUUGAACACCUCACUUGAAGAAUAUAGUAAGGAUCAAAGUCAACAUUUCAAAAAUCUAUUCACUUAGGACGUUCUCCGACACAGCUUAAAGUGGACGACAAUACUCAAAAUGCUUAAACAAAUAAGCAAUUCACAAAGGAAAAAGUCGAAGACACCCGACAACACAACCAGCGGUUCAGAUGCAUGUUGUUUCGUGGAUCUCAAUGGGAGCAUCGACUAAUUAUCACAUGAACCACAAUGCCCCCUAGGAGGACAAAACAAAUUCAAGACAGGCAACAACAUCCUUAGUGGAAGAUGAAAAAUUGGAUAAAGCGUUGUCAAAGUUGACGAGUUUUAGCACCAAAUGCGAGGAGGUCGAAAACAAAAAAUGCAAUUAAAUGAUGAUGCGAAGGUUGGGAGAAUUUAAAAGUAUUAACACUGGACACCGAACACCUUGAAUCGUUUGCUUGUGAAGGGGCCAAAUUUUAAAUGCGAAGAUUCCCAAACAGCGUUGGGGUUGUAAUUUGUUUAUUUUAUUUUUAGUAUUUUUUUAUUAUAUUUAAAUAUGUUUUUAGUUAGUAUUAUGUAAUCUUUUAAAUGAUUAAUCGUUUAUUUAAGUUACAUUUAAUUUUUAUU